UGGCCGCCACACACCCUUUGAGCGGGCGGGGCUCUGGGAUUCCGCACGGUUCUGCAGCCCCCGGGGCCAGCCUGCAACGCCUACAGACCACGUUUAAACCACCUACCUGCUCAGUGUCAGGCCUGUAUUAGGGGCUGGGAAUACAAGGACCCGGCAGUGAACACGACAAACCCCACACCUCCCUAAAAAGGACAAACAUUUCUUGACUCAGUCAAUAUUGAGUCCCAUCCGUGAGCCAGCACUGUGUGCUAGGUAUCCAAGGCGCAGUAGUGAAAGAGACAGCCUGGCAGGGAGCGGAGGAAGCAGGCGAUGAAAACGCAGUGUUAAAGGGAUGAACGGUACCACGGGUGCAGAGAAAGGAUCUCGAACUGGAGUCUGUUGGGGGGGCGGGAGAGGGGUUCUGGCUGACAGUAGGUUUCAGGCGGAGUUAAUCUGAGUCAAGGACGGAGAGUACACGUUUAUCUGAUGAAGGAAGACGAGCUAUUUGGGAAGGAGGGAGGCAGAGGGGACAGCAAGUACAAAAGUUGGAAGACAAGAGUGGGCAGGGCUUGAGAGGCAGUUAUUCAGACUGAGAGGCAGGGACAAAGAGAGGUGGAGAAAUGAAGCGACAAGGAUAUGAGACCCACAGCCAUGGGUGAAGACAGAUGGAGGCAGAGAUGCUCUAGGACACUAACAGAGAAACAGGCAUGGCAAGACUCAGAACUUCAGUCACACACAGCCCUCUGCACACACACAAGCAUCGGGGAGACUUCUUCUUGGAAUAUCCAAGGAAUUUGCCAGAGGAGCCCAGUGGGAACAGAUACCACUCCUUUCCCCUUCCUGACCAGAAUAUUGAUGUGAUAUCUAGACUGUAACCAUGAAAGAAAUGCCAAGAGAAUCACAGAGACGCUUGUUCUGACAGUGUGCUCACUCAACCAAUGCCCACUGCAGCUUGCCUCCAGACUUGGCUUCACACCCAGCCUGGGGCCCAAUGUGGGGUUUGAACUCAUGACCCUGAGAUCAAGACCUGAACUGAGAUCAAGAGUCGGACGCUUAACCAACUGAGCCACCCAGGUGCCCCAGUAAUCUCUGU